rnacentral:rRNA from 1 species
CCUACGGGAGGCAGCAGUGGGGAAUAUUGCACAAUGGGGGAAACCCUGAUGCAGCGACGCCGCGUGAGUGAAGAAGUAUUUCGGUACGUAAAGCCCUAUCAGCAGGGAAGAAAAUGACGGUACCUGACUAAGAAGCCCCGGCUAACUACGUGCCAGCAGCCGCGGUAAUACGUAGGGGGCAAGCGUUAUCCGGAUUUACUGGGUGUAAAGGGAGCGUAGGCGGCAGCGCAAGUCUGGAGUGAAAUCCCAUGGCUUAACCAUGGAACUGCUUUGGAAACUGUGCAGCUAGAGUGCAGGAGAGGUAAGCGGAAUUCCUAGUGUAGCGGUGAAAUGCGUAGAUAUUAGGAGGAACACCAGUGGCGAAGGCGGCUUACUGGACUGUAACUGACGUUGAGGCUCGAAAGCGUGGGGAGCAAACAGGAUUAGAUACCCGGGUAGUC